CUAAGUCGCUUGAAAGAAUAAUCUGUUCAGAGCUCUUCAAGAGAAGAGGGUUGUGGAUUUUUAAAAAUUAUUUUGGUUGCUUCAUAACAAAAUAUCGAAAUACCAAGUUUCUGAUCUUCACCAAAUGAUCCUUUUACUUACCCGAAGGAAAAAAAUUGGAAGUACUUGGAUCAGCUUCUUUUCUUGAACCUUCUAUUUCAAAUCUGAUGGGGGUCUCAGCCAAGAACUUGGUAGGGUAAAGGGAAAAUUCUUUCUCCUCCUGUGCAACAUUUAAUGACCACUGAGAAGAACCUGGGGAUGAGAUUUACAAUGAUUAACUCUGGCUGCGGCUUCUGUGGAGUGGUAGAUGUGGUUGCUGGGAAACUGAGUGGAAGGAAACUAGAGAAAAGCAAAGCUUUUACAUUUGCAGACUUACCCCGUAUAGAGGGACAACCCAACAAAGAUUGAAAAUGUGUGGAGAAUAAUGUUGAGGGUGGUGGCAAACCAUCCACAGGAGUGACAUGACCUGAGAGCCCACACAAGAAUUGAGGCAGCAAUAUUUUCCAGCAAGCCUGUGCUUCUAUUGCUAAGGGAACUGUGUAAAUCAAAUAAAUGCUGAACCUGUAAUUCA
rnacentral:lncRNA from 1 species